GUCUGAGUGUACGAAGGAACUGCACAUGCCUUAUUAAUAUAAAUCAUACUAGGAGCAUAAUUCCCAUUAGCAUUGAAGAGCCGUUUUUCAAUGAAAGACUCUUGCACCAGGAACACCUAAGGGGAAAUAACAAUGUUUGCUUCAUUUGAAGAGAAUAGUAAAAUACAGCCUGGGGACUGAGGAGGCAGAGAGCUGUUCCUUCUCUCCAAUGCUACAGGUUUGGGGUUUCUAUGCAACUAUCAUGAGCCACCGCCUUCCCCACCCCCUCCCAGAAGCUGUAUCCACAUGUGGUGAAGAGGUGGGCAUCCAGAUGUGCCAGUCCAAGGAGUGGGACCAUGGGCACGUGUUGGCCCCCGGCCUCUGCAUUGCCCCAUGGGGAUGCGUUCCCUUUCCCUCAGUCCCAGCUCUCAAGGAAAGGAAGCUCUGGCCUUGAAACUUUAGACAACAUUUCCACCUCUGGUUAAGCAGCUCCAGGAUGAAUGAGUGCCUCGGGGAGCUGAGAAAUGAGACAACGCAGUGAGAAGAGGACAGUGAGUGCAGACACUGCCAGUACCGAACCUUUGGAAUUCACUGCUGCAGGACGGAUAGCCAACGACUCGUGGUGAUGUGCUCUAGCAGAAGGAAAAUCAAAGUGCCCUUUUAUAACUGUUCAGAUAUAAAGUGAAGGGCAUCCAGCCCCCUGACACCAGCAUGGAGAAUGAUGUGUGGGAGGGACUGUGGGAAAUGACCUCACCAUGCACGGCCAUGCCCACUGGCCGUGUUUCCAUCACACAGGGCACAGAGCAAGUGGGCAGUGCCCAGGGAGAG
rnacentral:lncRNA from 1 species